ensembl:lncRNA
GUUUUUUUUUUGGUUUUUGUGGUUUUGUGUGUGUGUUGAAUUGUGCAUUUAUCUUUAUGUAUCUAUAAGAAUAUUUCUGUUGGGCUCCCAGAAGUGCAGUUACUAGUUAAAAAUUUGAGUAAUUGCACUGAAAGUUUUGAUAGGUAUUGCCUUCAAAAGGCUUAUGUAGCCAAAUUUAAUAGUUUAAAAUUUACAAUUAAAAAGUUUGUCAUUCUGAGUGCAUGUGCUUGGCAAUGUAAAUUACCAGGAUUUGAAGUAGAUGAAGUCUGUCCUAGAUUCUGUUGAUUCAUGCUUCUUUUUAGAUUGUUUUCACUUUAUGGUCAUACAUCCCUAUUAACUUCAUAAUGAAUCUCUAAUGCAGUCAACGUAGAAUACUGAGGUUAACAUGUCUGCCAGGCACAGUGCUACAUGUAAGGGGUGGAGAUAAAAACAAGGCAUAAAAUCUCAUUUUAAGAAAUAAAUGGUCUAGGGAAGGGGAGGAGGUGAUAAAAUUGGGAGUUUAUAUUUCAUUAUGAGCUGUUGCCCAGGUGUUACAGGAAUGCAGAUAAGACCCUAGAGAGGAAGGGACUCUCUAAAAAGAGCUUACGAUCUUGAGCUAAAACUUGAAAAGUAAAGGUGCAAAGGUGUGGAAAAGCCUGGAACUAUAGAUAAGAUUCAGGUGGUUAGAGUGGGAACGGGAUGGAAAUGAGGCUGAGUGUAAAAGGAGGGGAAAUAUAUGCUAUGUGGGAGUUUGGGUUCACCCUUACCCUGGAGUCCCUGAAGGAUUUUAAGCAGGAGCGGAACAUGGUUGGGUUUGUGUUCCCUCCCUUCUUCCUUCUUUUCCUUCUCCUUUUCUUUCUUUUUUUCCCUUGUUUUUUAGGGCCGCAUCUGUGGCAGGUGGAAGUUCCCAAGCUAGGAGUCGCAUUGGAGCUACAGCUGCCGGCCUACACCACAGCCACAGCAACGCUGGAUCCUUAACCCACCGAGUGAAGCUAGGGGGUGGAACCCGCAACCUCAUGGUUACUAGUUGGAUUUGUUUCUGCUGCGCAAGAACGGAGCUCCCGCCUCCUUUUCUAGUAAUCACUUUGGUAGUUGACGCUAGAUUGAAGGCUUAAUGAGACAGGAGGAAAGAACAGUUGGGAGAUGAUUACUGCUGGGAUUACUAUAAUGCUUGAGGUUCUGAAUGAAGACAGUGGUAUUAAGGAUGGAAUGAACGUGCCUGUCAUGCCACCUAUUGAACCCUUCCUAUUUGACCUUGGUAGUCAGAAUGUCAUCUCUUUUCAGAAACCUUCUUUGAUCCCUUCAGGCAAAACAGUGCUAUAUCAUCUGGGUUUACUACCUUCACACCUAAUUUUUAUCACCUUAUCUUUGGCAUUGAUGAUACGACCUUAAUUCUUAGUGUCUCCAACAUUAGACCAUUAACUCCUGUAGUCUUUCCUCUGGUAUUUGUGUCUGGUAUUAGUAUAUUUUUAAGGUAUCUCUGGUAGGUGGUAAAUCAGUGAUUGGGAUCAGGGUUCAUUGACAUGGGGAAUGUUGAGGGGCAGGGAUUGGUUUUGAAUUUGUUAUUAGGGGCAGGAAAUGGGCUUUGCAAGUAGCUGUAUGGGUGAUGCUGGACCCUCCUUAUUCUUUAGGUUUCAACUUUUUAUUUUUUAUUUUAAUUCUUUGGAUUUUAAACUUUAGGUUUCAAUGUUUUUUCCCACUGGGAAGCCUUCUGUGACCCAGCUCACUCUCAGCCUGUGUGAGGGUCUCCUAAUGUCCCCUGGGAUUCCCUCUUCACACAGUGUCUGUCUUUACUGGUCCAUGUCAUCCUUGUAGACACUUAGUACAGGGCUUUGAGUGCUGUAGGCAUUUUAAUAAAAUGUUUAUUGGAGGUAAUUAGUUGGUAUUUCUCAUUGACUUCCCUCUAAAGACUAAAAUUCAAAAUCGUAGGGUCUAGCAAUUAAGCCUCUUCCAGUUUAAACCUAGCCUUACAUUUAGUGGUUAAAAGCAUGGAUUUCAGGGGUAGAGAUUUAAAUUGGAAUCCUUCCCCUGCAACUUAGUAGUUAUGUGCUCUUGGGCACGUUACUUAACUUUGGAGCAUCAAGGUUUCUUAUCUAUUAACGUGAGAAUAAGGAUACGUACUUGUCUUACAAUGUUAUUGUGACACUUAAAUGAGGAGAUAUAUGUAAGACACUUAGCACAGUGACUGACACAGUAAAAGGUCAAUUAAUGUAGUGAAUAGCAGUCAUAAUAGUAGCCUAUCCUCCAGUCAGAGCUGUGAUUCCCUUAGUGAUUAUGAAAUUUAAGAAGCCCUGCCCUAUUGGCAUAGGAAAGUGUUAGGGACUGAGGUGGUGAGGUCCACAUUAUUUCUUCGUUUUAUAAUAAAAAUUUUGACUCCUACUCUCUAUUGUCCUCAUCUUUAUCUGCUUAGCAUGGUCUUAUACUGAAAGGCCUACCUCACCAGGUCAUUUUUGCCUACUCUACCCCUGCUGGUAAGUACCAAGCUCUAGCUAUAUAAAGUUAACGAGCCUGUAAACAAGGAUGCUAAGGCUUCCUUGUCUUGGAAAUAGAAUUAAUGAAUUGAUAACUAGGAAACAUUCAGAUAAUUUUAACUGAACAGUGGCUUUAAGUGCAUUGAUAAUUUAAGCAAGCAGGAAGAAAGAGAUGUGAAUCUGAAUAGUCUGGAAAGGUUUUUGUGGAGAUGCUGUGUAUUGGACAAUUAAGUUUUGCGCUUAAAGUGUAGAAGGGUCUUCCAGGUAGGGGCAGCAGCGUAGACAGGAUCAUGGAGUUGAAUGUGGAAGGAGUUUUAGGUCCAUGCCACCUGAUGUACUUGCUUUGAUAUUGUUUUAAGGUUCAUCUUGGAGAAAUAGGACUCAUAAGGUAUGUACUAGGACCUAUUUUAGAGUAGAGGAUUGAGGUGAUAUAAAGGUAUGGAAUGGAUUGGAGGACUGAGGCAUCAGUCAGGAAGCUGUUAUGAUAAUUUAGGUGUGAGCUGAUGUGGACCUUGGGAUGGGUUUGGGUUAGUAGUGUUAAGAAUGGAAUGGAUAGGGAGUUCCUGUUGGUGCUCAGCCGUAACGAACCUGACUAGUAUCCAUGAGGACGUGGGUUUGAUCCCUGGCCUCAGUAGUGGGUUAUGGAUCUGGCAUUGCCAUGAGCUGUGGUGUAGGUCACAAGCGCCGCUCAGAUGUGACUGUGGUGUAGGCUCCGAUUCGCCCCCUAGCCUGGAACUUCCAUAUGCUGCACAUGUGGCCAUAAAAAGACCAAAAAAAAAAAAGGGGGGGGGGGAAGGAGAUACUGAGCCUGAACAGCCAUUUCCCCCCCC